rnacentral:snRNA from 1 species
AUACUUACCUGGCACAGAAGUUAACCGUGAUCAUUAAGGCGGUUCUUCCAGGGCGAGGCCUUACCAUUGCACUCCGGUUUGGCUGACCCUUGCGAUUACCCCAAAUAGGGGUAACUCGGGUGCGUAAUUUUUUAUUGUGGGGGACUGCGUUCGCGCUAUCCCCUG